ensembl:lncRNA
AGCCAUCUAAUAUGACUUCUGAAGAUUGCUGGAAUAACACACACGAAUCAUAAGGACUGUAGCUGUGGUACUUUCAUUUGCUUUUUGGUGCUUGACAGACACAAGUAUCGUCUGUUCCCUCAUCCACUUGUUUCGUGAAUGAAAACAUUAUGACAAUUCAGACAAUCAAAAACUUCUUGGAUUAUACGGGAAUGAAGCGCUUUUUUCCCUGCUGUCAGAUUCAGGUGGACCAGGUCAUUACUGAUGUAGCGAAUUGCACCCCUCACCUGAACAUGGUCUGGGUUAAACUGAGUGAGUUGCCCUGUUCUGCUGAUUCAGGGCUGGCUUUCCUCAGCGGAUGGCUUACUAUAACUCAUCUGAGAUCUGCACGAACAGGUAAUAUCUGUCAAAAAAAUAUUAAAAAAAUGGCUCAGAUAUUCUCAAGAUACCAUAAAAGAUUAAUUAACUCUGUGUGAAGUCUAUUCCCAGAUAUUUUUUGUGAAGUAACUAGAAGCUUAAAGCUGAAUCUGAUCAUAUUGUACAUAUAGUUUGCUAAGGCAAGCAUCAAUAUUACUAUGACUCAAACUAAAAGUAAGGGAUUUCAAUAAACCCAAACACUGUUUAACUGUAAAAUAUUAA